rnacentral:rRNA from 1 species
AUUGAACGCUGGCGGCAUGCCUUACACAUGCAAGUCGAACGGCAGCACGGGAGCAAUCCUGGUGGCGAGUGGCGAACGGGUGAGUAAAGUAUCGGAACGUGCCCAGUCGUGGGGGAUAACGUAGCGAAAGUUACGCUAAUACCGCAUACGAUCUAUGGAUGAAAGCGGGGGAUCGCAAGACCUCGCGCGAUUGGAGCGGCCGAUAUUAGAUUAGGUAGUUGGUGGGGUAAAGGCUGACCAAGCCGGCGAUCUGGAGCUGAUCUGAGAGGACGACCAGCCACACCGGGACUGAGACACGGCCCAGACUCCUACGGGAGGCAGCAGUGGGGAAUUUUGGACAAUGGGCGAAAGCCUGAUCCAGCCAUGCCGCGUGCAGGAUGAAGGCCUUCGGGUUGUAAACUGCUUUUGUACGGAACGAAAAGGUUUGGCCUAAUAAGCUGAGCUCAUGACGGUACCGUAAGAAUAAGCACCGGCUAACUACGUGCCAGCCGCCGCCGUAA